ensembl:lncRNA
GUAAACAGGAAACAGCACAGACAGAGCUGGGGAUAAAAAUAAACCGAAAGUCUCGUCAUCGCUGCUGGGCUGGUAAACCCACUCACACCCUCUCAAACCAAGGCUCCAUCCCUCUGGAACUUGAUACAGUCCUUUACUUGGAUGCUUUUGGCCCCUCGGAUAACAUUUAUGCUGAUUGAUAGGACGGUACCAAUGAAAUUAGAUCGCUUCUCCGUUGCCAGUUUAGUUGGACACAGUGGUGGAGGUUCAACUGACGAGGAGGCAUACAAAGGCAUGUCAAUUGCUAUUGGAAACCUGUUUGAUCACCACACACUGCAAAAUCAUUCUGGCUAUGGAUACGGAGAACAUCAACACAUUAACAUCAACAUACCAGAGGAUAUACCCAUUGGACUUGUGGCUCUGCUGGGAGUUUACCU